rnacentral:rRNA from 1 species
CUAUCAUCCUACGGGAGGCAGCAGUGGGGAAUAUUGCACAAUGGGACGCAAGCCUGAUGCAGCCAAUGCCGCGUGUAUAGAAGAAGGCCUUCGGGUUGUAAAAGUACUUUCAGCAGUGAGGAAGGUGGUGUCGGUUAAUAGCGGCAUCAUUUGACGUUAGCUGCAGAAGAAGCACCGGCUAACUCCGUGCCAGCAGCCGCGGGUAAUACGGAGGGUAGCGAGCGUUAAAUCGGAAUUACUGGGCGUAAAGCGCAUGCAGGUGGUUUGUUAAAGGUCAAGAUAGUAGAAAAGACCCCGGGGCUCAAACCUCGGAAUUGCAUUUGAAACUGGCAGACUAGAGUACUGUAGAGGGGGUAGAAUUUCAGGUGUAGCGGUGAAAUGCGUAGAGAUCUGAAGGAAUACCGGUGGUCGAAGGCGGCCCCCUGGACAGAUACUGACACUCAGAUGCGAAAGCGUGGGGAGCAAACAGGAUUAGAUACCCUGGUAG